GGGUUAGUAGGUUGGUCAUGCCUCUGGUAUGCACUGGUCUCACUGAUUCCUCCUUCCUGAUGAGCCGUAAUGCCAUUAAUUUGGUGUUGCGGGGAAUUUGGACUGUUACUUUGAAAAAAUUAGAGUGUUUAAAGCAAGCUAACGCCCGAAUACAUUAGCAUGGAAUAAUAGAAUAGGACGUGCGGUUCUAUUUUGUUGGUUUCUAGGAUCGCCGUAAUGAUUAAUAGGGAUAGUUGGGCCAGUAUCGCGU
rnacentral:rRNA from 1 species